AUUGAACGCUGGCGGCAGGCCUAACACAUGCAAGUCGAGCGAGCGGCGGACGGGUGAGUAAUGUCUGGGAAACUGCCUGAUGGAGGGGGAUACCUACUGGAAACGGUAGCUAAUACCGCAUACCAUCAGAUGUGCGCAGAUGGGAUUAGCUAGUGGGUGGGGUAACGGCUCACCUAGGAGACGAUCCCUAGCUGGUCGGAGAGGUUUACCAGCCACACGGGAGCUGAGACGCGGUCCAGAGUCCAUCGGGAGGCAGCAGUGGGGAAUAUUGCACAAUGGGCGCAAGCCUGAUGCAGGCAGGCCGCGUGUGUGAAGAAGGCCUUCGGGUUGUAAAGCUCUUUCAGCGGUGAGGCGUUACCCGCAGAAGAAGCACCGGCUAACUCCGUGCCAGCAGCCGCGGUAAUUC
rnacentral:rRNA from 1 species